UGCUUUGCGCAGUGCAGUAUCAUAGUCAAUGAGGUUUAUCCGAGACGUGGUUAUUGCCAGUUGAAACUAUGUAUAGGGAAUNNN
rnacentral:snRNA from 1 species